rnacentral:rRNA from 1 species
GUUAUAGGGUCAAGCGAAUAAGUGCAUGUGGUGGAUGCCUUGGCGAUUACAGGCGAUGAAGGACGUAGUAGCCUGCGAAAAGCUGCGGGGAGCUGGCAAACAAGCUUUGAUCCGCAGAUAUCCGAAUGGGGAAACCCGGCCCGAAUGGGUCAUCCCUUGCUGAAUACAUAGGCAAGGGAAGCGAACGCAGUGAACUGAAACAUCUAAGUAGCUGCAGGAACAGAAAUCAACCGAGAUUCCCAAAGUAGUGGCGAGCGAAAUGGGAUCAGCCUUGUACUCUUUAGCAGUAUUGUUAGCAAAGCGGAAUGGAAAGUCCGGCCAUAGUGGGUGAUAGCCCCGUAUGCGAAAACAGUAUUGUGGAACUAGGUGUACGACAAGUAGGGCGGGACACGUGAAAUCCUGUCUGAAGAUGGGGGGACCAUCCUCCAAGGCUAAAUACUCGUAAUCGACCGAUAGUGAACCAGUACCGUGAGGGAAAGGCGAAAAGAACCCCGGGAGGGGAGUGAAAUAGAUCCUGAAACCGCAUGCAUACAAACAGUCGGAGCCUGGAAACGGGUGACGGCGUACCUUUUGUAUAAUGGGUCAGCGACUUACAUUCAGUGGCAAGCUUAACCGAUUAGGGAAGGCGUAGCGAAAGCGAGUCCGAAUAGGGCGUUCAGUCGCUGGGUGUAGACCCGAAACCAAGUGAUCUAUCCAUGGCCAGGUUGAAGGUGCGGUAACACGUACUGGAGGACCGAACCCACUAACGUUGAAAAGUUAGGGGAUGAGCUGUGGAUAGGGGUGAAAGGCUAAACAAACUUGGAAAUAGCUGGUUCUCUCCGAAAACUAUUUAGGUAGUGCCUCGUGUCUCACCUUCGGGGGUAGAGCACUGUCAUGGUUGGGGGGUCUAUUGCUGAUUACCCCGCCAUAGCAAACUCCGAAUACCGAAGAGUGCAAUCACGGGAGACAGACAUCGGGUGCUAACGUCCGGUGUCAAGAGGGAAACAACCCAGACCGCCAGCUAAGGUCCCUAAAUAUUGCUAAGUGGGAAACGAAGUGGGAAGGCUAAAACAGUCAGG